AAAACACUGCGAGUUUGCAUAAAGCAAACUCGUUGAUUGUAUGCACUUUUUCAGCUUCGCUUGCAAAAGUGCGAAAAAUAAGCAAUGCUCGAAAAUUGAUAUUUUCUGCGCUUGCUUAUUCUAUAG
rfam:Treponema pedis str. T A4, complete genome.